UACGUAGGGUGCAAGCGUUAAUCGGAAUUACUGGGCGUAAAGCGUGCGCAGGCGGUUUUGUAAGUCUGACGUGAAAUCCCCGGGCUCAACCUGGGAAUUGCGUUGGAGACUGCAAGGCUAGAAUCUGGCAGAGGGGGGUAGAAUUCCACGUGUAGCAGUGAAAUGCGUAGAGAUGUGGAGGAACACCGAUGGCGAAGGCAGCCCCC
rnacentral:rRNA from 1 species